UACGUAGGGUGCAAGCGUUGUCCGGAAUUAUUGGGCGUAAAGAGCUCGUAGGCGGUCUGCCGCGUCUGCUGUGAAAACUCGGGGCUUAACCCCGGGCCUGCAGUGGGUACGGGCAGACUAGAGUGCGGUAGGGGGGACUGGAAUUCCUGGUGUAGCGGUGAAAUGCGCAGAUAUCAGGAGGAACACCGGUGGCGAAGGCGGGUCUCUGGGCCGUAACUGACGCUGAGGAGCGAAAGCGUGGGGAGCGAACAGG
rnacentral:rRNA from 1 species